rnacentral:lncRNA from 1 species
AUGUACAUUAUAACCUACCUAAAAAGCAGGCAGGAUUAUCCACCUCUCAGACCCGAAUUCCAAGGUAAGCCUCUCGCCCUUUUCAGAUUUGGGUAUUUCAGCUCCAGCGUGACGCAUCUCCUUCGCAUAGAGUUGAUCAGGCUGUUGAUUCUGGCCUGUGGAAUGUUGUCCCACUUCCUCUUAAAUAGCUGUGUGCGAAGUUGCUGGAUAUUGGCGGGAACACGCUGUCCUAUGUCGAUCCAGAGCAUCUCAAACAGCUCAAUGGGUGGUAUGCAGGCCAUGGAAGAACUGGGUCAUAUUCAGCUUCCAGGAAUUGUGUACAGAUCCAUCUGGUCUCCAGUGCGUCUCCUCGGGCCGGGGUACAUGGCACCAGCCCUACGCAUGGUGUCCCCGGUUAGCCAGCACAGCCCAGUGCGGGCUAUUCCACCUUGCCGCACUGGCCUGGCUACGGGGAGCAUUCAGCCAGGUAAGGUUGGGCAGGCUCGGUGCUCAAGACCUCCAGUGCACCUUCAUGGUCCGGUCUAUCCGGUGCCACCUCCACGCACCAGCCAUCUGGUGGCAGCCCCCCGCACCAGGCUGUCUCUCCGUCCCCUCCCUACAGGUGCUCCCAUCUGUCCUGAGCUGCCAGAGUCGCCCGUGUGUCCUGAGCUGCCCGAGUCGCCCGUCUGUCCUGAGCUGCCAGAGUCACCCGUCUGUCCUGAGCUGCCAGAGUUGUCCGUCUGUCCGGAGCUGCCAGAGUCGCCCGUCAGUCAAGAGCUGCCAGAGUCGCCCGUCAGUCAGGAGCUGCCAGAGCCGUCCGUCAGCCAGGAGCUGCCAGAGCCGUCCGUCAGCCAGGAGCGGGCAGAGCCGUCUGUCAGCCAGGAGCGGGCAGAGCCGUCCGUCAGCCAGGAGCGGGCAGAGCCGUCCGUCAGCCAGGAGCUGCCAGAGCCGUCUGUCAGCCAGGAGCGGGCAGAGCCGUCCGUCAGCCAGGAGCUGCCGGAAUCGCCCGUCACUCCGGUGCUGCCCGAAGUCGUCCUUCAAUCCGGCCCCGCCGGAGUCUCCCGCCUGUCAGGUGCUGCCGGAAUCUCCUGUCCAUUCGGGACCCAUUGCUAG